UACAGAGGUCUCAAGCGUUGUUCGGAUUCAUUGGGCGUAAAGGGUGCGUAGGCGGCGAGGUUAGUCGGAUGUGAAAUCCCGGGGCUCAACCCCGGAACUGCAUUCGAUACUGCCUUGCUAGAGUACUGGAGAGGAGACUGGAAUUUACGGUGUAGCAGUGAAAUGCGUAGAUAUCGUAAGGAAGACCAGUGGCGAAGGCGAGUCUCUGGACAGUUACUGACGCUGAGGCACGAAGGCCAGGGGAGCAAACGGG
rnacentral:rRNA from 1 species